rnacentral:rRNA from 1 species
GACGAACGCUGGCGGCGUGCUUAACACAUGCAAGUCGAGCGGUAAGGCCCUUCGGGGUACGACGAGCGGCGAACGGGUGAGUAACACGUGGGUGACCUGCCCUUAGCUCUGGGAUAAGCCUAGGAAACUGGGUCUAAUACCGGAUAUGACCUCAUGACGCAUGUUGUGGGGUGGAAAGCCUUGUGCGGCUAGGGAUGGGCCCGCGGCCUAUCAGCUUGUUGGUGGGGUGAUGGCCUACCAAGGCGACGACGGGUAGCCGGCCUGAGAGGGCGACCGGCCACACUGGGACUGAGACACGGCCCAGACUCCUACGGGAGGCAGCAGUGGGGAAUCUUGCGCAAUGGGCGAAAGCCUGACGCAGCGACGCCGCGUGAGGG